GCCGCCUCGACUGUCACUGGCUAAGGCUGCGGCGACCGACGCACAGCAAAGGCAGCAGAGCUGGAGCGCCUGCAAGAGAAAAGAGUACAGUCCCCAGACCAGCAGGCUUCCCAUCACCUGCAGCACCUCAGCUCCAGCCUCGGACCUGAAUCACGUCCUGCACUAAUCAAGAACCUGCAUGAGACCAAGGCCCCCAGGUGGUGGUACACACAUGAACGUUUCAGAAGGGCUGCUGUAGAGUCAAACAGCCCACAGGGAAACACCCUGCCCCUGCCCACCUGUGAAUGGCCGAAGAAAAGAAGAAAUUAACACAUCCCCUCCCCUAGGAUGGCCAAAACCAGGAGAUAUUUUGCAAGACUUAUGGCCUUUUUACUUCCUCACCUCCUCCCCCUCUCUGUUCUAUAAAAGAAACUGGCAUCCAGACCCCGAUAAGAUGGUACUCUAGGACAUUAGUCUGCCAUCGUCUCAGAUGCCCAGCGUUCCGAAUAAAGUCUCUAUUCCUUGCCUCAA